AUUGAACGCUGGCGGCAUGCCUUACACAUGCAAGUCGAACGGCAGCACGGGUGCUUGCACCUGGUGGCGAGUGGCGAACGGGUGAGUAAUACAUCGGAACAUGUCCUGUAGUGGGGGAUAGCCCGGCGAAAGCCGGAUUAAUACCGCAUACGAUCUACGGAUGAAAGCGGGGGACCUUCGGGCCUCGCGCUAUAGGGUUGGCCGAUGGCUGAUUAGCUAGUUGGUGGGGUAAAGGCCUACCAAGGCGACGAUCAGUAGAUGGUCUGAGAGGACGACCAGCCACACUGGGACUGAGACACGGCCCAGACUCCUACGGGAGGCAGCAGUGGGGAAUUUUGGACAAUGGGCGAAAGCCUGAUCCAGCAAUGCCGCGUGUGUGAAGAAGGCCUUCGGGUUGUAAAGCACUUUUGUCCGGAAAGAAACCCUUGGCUCUAAUACAGUCGGGGGAUGACGGUACCGGAAGAAUAAGCACCGGCUAACUACGUG
rnacentral:rRNA from 1 species